GACGAACGCUGGCGGCGUGCUUAACACAUGCAAGUCGAGCGGUAAGGCCCUUUCGGGGGUACGACGAGCGGCGAACGGGUGAGUAACACGUGGGUGACCUGCCCUCAGCUCUGGGAUAAGCCUGGGAAACUGGGUCUAAUACUGGAUAUGACUCCACGGUGCAUGUCGUGGGGUGGAAAGCCUUGUGCGGCUGAGGAUGGGCCCGCGGCCUAUCAGCUUGUCGGUGGGGGA
rnacentral:rRNA from 1 species